rnacentral:rRNA from 1 species
UGAGGAACACGACCUUCGGCGGGGGAUAACCGGCCCAACGGCCGGGUAAUACCGCGUACGACCCUCGGGGGGCAUCCCCUGAAGGUGAAAGCCGCAAGGCGCCGAUGGAGAACUUCGCGGCCUAUCAGCUAGUUGGUGAGGUCAUGGCUCACCAAGGCGACGACGGGUAGCUGGUCCGAGAGGAUGACCAGCCACAUUGGGACUGAGACACGGUCCAGACUCCUACGGGAGCAG